GGGGUUGUGGCUCAGGGGUAGGGCACUUGCCUUGCAUGCAGGAGGCACUGGGUUCAAUCCCCAACACCA
rnacentral:tRNA from 1 species